AUGUGCAUAAUAACAGGAUUAUCUUGUUUGUGUGUGAUAUGUUCUCCGCAAUGACACAAAUUCGGUUCACUUCAAGCCUUCAUGUCGAUUUCUGCAUAGUUUCGUCACUUUGUAUUUACAGGAGAGAGUGUGAUGGCCGGUUGCAACGCACGGGGAUUUCAACUAGUUAUUCAUAUUUUCGGGUUAAACCAUAUAAUAAGAAAUAAAAAAUACGUCCGAUUUUACAAGUUGGAGCGUAUAUGUUCGGUUUUGCUAUUUCUAACAUGACUGAGCAUUAACUAUCUCUAAGUUGAACCGUUCGAUCAAACAACUGAGGUUCGUGCAAGAUUCACGCAAAUAUAGAGAACAUCUUGAUCCAGUGGCUACGAUUGUCGAUCAAGAGUAUGUUUCAUAUGAUUUUGGUAUACACGGUACCCGUUUUAUAACGGAAUUGAUAGUUCUCACGCAAAUGAGAAUUAACUGUCUCAGCUCCAUUUCAUCAAAAAAAAAAAACUGUCUCAGCUCCACGGCUCCACCCACAGACACGUCCGAUCUUUUUGAGCGAAAUCUUACGAGGGGAUAAGUUUUUUCCUUAAUCUAAUUAGCACGUGUGCGCAUGGCUAUCUCCCCGUGCGACGCAUUCCAAUGGAGCCGCACUUAUAGUGGGACUGGAACAUGUAUGCACAAGCAUUAAUUAUUAAAUUUAAAUUUUCAAACUAAUUAUCUUCUCAACCGUUAAUUUGAUUAAAAAUCCGUUUUCAUGGUUGAAAGUGAGUGUUGAAGUGUUCCAAUGAGUAAGAUAUGACAUAUAAGGACAAUGAUUGAGUGUUUACAUAGGUGCACGUUAAUGCUUAGCAAACUGGUAAUCCAACUAAUAUUAAUCGGGUAAACAAAUGAUUAUAACGUGAUAACUUUCAACAAAAAAAUGUCAUCAAAACAUAGCGAUCUGAAAUCUAAUUGUAUAAAUCUCGACGCGAUAAAGCUAACGGUGAAACGGCUCGUCAAUUGGAUACAUAGUUGUGUUUGGACAAUAAAAAAAAUUAAAUUUAGAGCCGAGAAAAACAUGUGGCACUAAGAGUGUGUUCCGUGAGAGCC
rnacentral:lncRNA from 1 species